AAUUAAUAAUUUUGGAAAGAGACGACGGCCUAGCAAGUUGUGAAUGAAAAACGCCUAUACACUAAAACUAAACGUACGUACUUGUGUUUACGCGCACGUGCGCGUUCAAAUAUCACCUCACGUAUGCACAUGUGUACUUCGCACUUACCCCCACCCUUUUCAAAAUGCCAUCUUACCAGUCUUUGAGGUAUAUUUCGCAGACUUUCGGUUUUAACCUAGGUCACUCCGGCAUAGGUGAGGGGGUGCCAGCUAGCAUGUGAUGUUGGAGGUGAUCACCGAAUUGUUAGAAAAAGUAAAUGGUCAAAUUAGUUACAAGUAUUGUGGGCUUUAUUGGUGCAAGAAAAAGGAA